UACGUAGGGUGCGAGCGUUGUCCGGAAUUAUUGGGCGUAAAGAGCUUGUAGGCGGUUUGUCGCGUCUGCCGUGAAAUUUCGAGGCUCAACCUCGAACUUGCGGUGGGUACGGGCAGACUAGAGUGUGGUAGGGGAGACUGGAAUUCCUGGUGUAGCGGUGAAAUGCGCAGAUAUCAGGAAGAACACCCGUGGCGAAGGCGGCUCUCUGGGACGGUACUGACGCUGAGACGCGAAAGCGUGGGGAGCAAACAGG
rnacentral:rRNA from 1 species